UUAGUGAACAAAGAUUUCUGAGAGAGAUAGGAAUGUGUAAAUGUAUUUGUUGUCUUUCUGUGCAGAUUAUUGUGGUGUCAUGACUCUCGUCCUGCCUGGUCAGGUUUUUGUCUGCUGCCUUAUUUUAUUAUGUGCCAGGCUUUGUUUGGUGCCAUGUUCCUGUUGUCUAUGCUGUGCUUUGGUCCAUCUCUCUCUCUCUCUCUCUCUCUCUCUCGCUCUCCUAAGUAGGUCAGAGUGGCUUCAGCUUCAGCUGAGGCCACUCUCCUCAUCAAGGGUGCAGCUCUGGCUGAGCAGCUGUCUCCGAUUCAUCAUUACACAUCUCUGACAAUAAAAAGCCGGUUCAGACACUCAUUCGAUGCCGGAUUGUUAUAUGACUACCAAUUCAUUCUGCUCAGCACAACGGAUUCCUAGAUCAUCCCUCAGCCAUCCACAGCCAGAACCCAGCCGAGAUUCACCACCAGGAGGAGACCACAGCCGAGACCAAAGCCCAGAACCACAGCUAAGUGAAUUCUACAGCCAAGACCAAACCUAGAACCUCAGCCAAGAGAAUUCAACAGCCAAGUCCAAGCCUAGAACCUCAGCCAAAAGAGAUCCACAGCUAAAACCAAGAGCCCAGAGUCUCCGCCAAGAGAAAACCACAGCCAAGCCCAAGCCAAGAAUCACAGCCAAGAGAAGACCACAGCCGAAGACCAACCCCAAACCCCAGCCAUAAAGAAAUCUUCAUCCCAUCACCACCACGACCCAAGCCCUGCGCCCCAGACAACCCAACCUCCACAAACCACUCCCUUCCCUCACAAUAAAAUCCCUAAACUCUC